GAUGAAGAACGCAGCGAAAUGCGAUAAGUAGUGUGAAUUGCAGAAUUCAGUGAAUCAUCGAAUCUUUGAACGCACAUUGCGCCCCUUGGUAUCCCGAGGGGCAUGCCUGUUCGAGCGUCAUUUCACCACUCAAGCCUGGCUUGGUGUUGGGCGACGUCCCCUUUGGGGACGCGCCUCGAAACGCUCGGCGGCGUGGCACCGGCUUUAAGCGUAGCAGAAUCUUUCGCUUUGGAAGUCGGGGCCCCGUCUGCCGGAAGACCUACUCGCAAGGUUGAUCUCGGAUCAGGCAGGGAUACCCGCUGAACUUAAGCAUAUCAAUAAGCGGAGGA
rnacentral:misc_RNA from 1 species